CUCUCCUCUCCUCUAAUUCUAAAUCCUUCUCCUCGAAUAUAUCUCUCUUCUCCCUUUUGUUCUUUCUGUUUUGGUAAUUUACUUUUAUUUCUCCUCUCGAUUUGGUCAAAACCCUAGAUUUGUUUUCCAAAAGCGUAUCUAUAAAUGAAUAACUUUCCUCUUCUCCUUCGAUUAUAAAUAUCUAUUCUCUCUCUGGUUUCUGCUUACCCUAAAGCGCCUCAGAUCUAACUCAACUGCUUCAAAGUCUCAUCCUUUUCAUACAUCUUUCAUAUGUUCGAUCUCUAAUCUCACUAUUCGUGUCGGUAAGGUAAGAGGGUCACGAGUGAGUUUUGGGACAAAUUUAAAAGAGAAACGCAUAGAAACUGACAGAAGAGAGUGAGCACACAAAGGCACUUUGCAUGUCCGAUGCUUUUGCUUCUCUUGCGUGCUCACUGCUCUAUCUGUCAGAUUCCGGCGCCGAUCCGUUUCGGUCCGUUCACGUUUUCUUCUUCUAAAUUGUGUUCUCAUCUCUCUCUUGUGUUCUUUAUCUCUCCAAAGGUAAGUAGAUACGAUCUUUGAUAUUUAUAUGAAGCUUGUUCUUGUUUUGCCAUCGAUUUGGUUUCCAAUUGCAUGCGAGUUUGCUUUUUGUUUUUUUUUCCUUUGUUGAACUUUAUAUUUUAUGAGAUCAUUAGUAUCGAAACCUUAAUCUAUGAGUUUAAGGCGUGGUUAAGUGAGAUUAACAUGGGACCAUUAACGUUAACCUAGUUUUUCCUUAGGCUGGUCCUAACUCUUUUGAAUCUUCAAUGUGUCUCGAUCGAAGUAAAUAUUAUAUGGUUAUCUUUUCCUUUCUUUCUUUUUUGGUUUCUCAUUCGCAGGUUUAAUCCGUGAAAUGGACCCUUAAUUCAUAACUAUGUGUAGAUAUAUUAUUUGCUUCAUAUGAUCAUAUCUUGUGUAUAGUCAUGGAUCUUGCAAUAGUACUGUUCAUGAUAGUCAAAUUGUUGUUGAUUAGUCGUUUGUUGUACACGUAUUAUUUAUAUUGUAUGCUCUCGUACAUUUUGAUUCCAUUUAUAUAAUUAUGUUUCUAAUUUAGGCUAUUAUACGUAGCUUAAUGUGUUUGUACUACAUAUAGAUGGUAUCUAAUUUAUAUAUCAUCGAAUCCAUGUGAUCAAGUUGUGAAUCUUGCGAGAAUAUUCUUGUGGGGUUUGUUUCUUCAUUUAUGAACAUGUUCUUUGAUUUGCAUCUAAUACUCAAAAUGACUUACAAAGAUAAAAAAAAAUUGAGUGUUUUUCCACAACUUUCCAGUAAUUUUGAACCUGAUAAGUAAUGUUAGAUCUAGGAAGCGAUUUGUAGAUCUAUUUGUGAAGAAGGAAUUGAUAGUAAUUUGAAGUGUUUCGUCACUAGUUUGCAAAGAUGAUUAAAUUGUGAUUCUUUUCUGACUUGAAUGACUUUCAGUUCUUUUUUUCCCCAUUUUCUUACGCCUAAACACUCCAAAGUUUCAUUUUAAUUAUUUUAUUUAUAUUUAUGGCAGGUAUAAAAUAAAAUAUUGGGAUUUUUUCCAUUGAAGAGCUGAUUAAUGUUCUACAAUUCGUUAAAACAUUUAACGUUCAUUACUGUGUCUCUUGAAAUUGGUAGCUGUAUAUAUCUUGUCAUGCACUGUGUUCUCGUUUUGUCAUUUUUUUUUCCUUUGUUUCCAUUUUCCAGUGUUUGCAAACCAAAGAAGCCAUAUGACACAUUUAGGUAUGUUCUUACUAUCAUUGGUCAUAUUUGGCUUUUUAGUUUCUUCAGGAGAAGGAUAGUACUUCAAGAGAAGGAUAUUUGGCUUUUUAGUUUCUUCAAGAGAAGGAUAGUACUUUCUCGAUACUUGUGAAAGGUAUCACCAUUAACCAAUUAUUGGUAAACCUCAAGUCGGUUGAGGUUGAGCUUCUCAAAUUAGUCUAAAAUGAUAUGAGUGAUAUGGAAAAUGUCUCAUGACAUCAUAAGUAAAAUAUGUAAAUGGAAAUGUCUCAUGACAUCAUAAGUAAAAUAUGUAAAUGGAAUAUGGUUUACAGAGCACUUAUCUGUUGCAUUACACUGAUGUUAUAAGAUGUCACCAAAUUUUUUUAUUUUUUUUGCAGUUUAAAUUAUAUGGGAAACUAUGAGUCACAUGGUGCAGUUUUGUUGAGUUAGGAAGGCAUAAUCGAGGAGGCUUGAACAUAAGUUUGAAUGUAAGGUGUCAUCAGUGGUUCUGGUGUGAGCAAGGACAAUCCUUGAGUAUACUUCAAAUGUGUGGAUGAUCUUUAACGUAUUUUUCGACGCAGCCCGAUGCAAAUAUUGAAGCGAAGUUAUUGUGAUCAAAGCUGUUUUCCGUAGCUUAUUUAUAUGUUAUAUGAUGCUGAUUAAUUCAGAGUUUUUGUUCUUUGGUUAAUCAGUUAAUUGUCGCGUGUGUCACGUAUGUGUUUGUUCUAGGUUAGAGUCGGGGAGUAAACAGUGUUUGACUUAUUUUAUGGUUAGUAGGAACUGAAUGGGGUUAUUAUUGGUCUACAAGUCCACUGCAGGAAUACCAUAAUAAUCAAUUGAUCACA